UAGGGAAUCUUCGGCAAUGGACGGAAGUCUGACCGAGCAACGCCGCGUGAGUGAAGAAGGUUUUCGGACCGUAAAGCUCUGUUGUUAGAGAAGAACGUUGGUAGGAGUGGAAAAUCUACCAAGUGACGGUAACUAACCAGAAAGGGACGGCUAACUACGUGCCAGCAGCCGCGGUAAUACGUAGGUCCCGAGCGUUGUCCGGAUUUAUUGGGCGUAAAGCGAGCGCAGGCGGUUCUUUAAGUCUGAAGUUAAAGGCAGUGGCUUAACCAUUGUACGCUUUGGAAACUGGAGGACUUGAGUGCAGAAGGGGGGAGUGGAGUUCCAUGUGUAGCAGUGAAAUGCGUAGAUAUAUGGAGGAACACCGGUGGCGAAAGCGGCUCUCUGGUCUGUAACUGACGCUGAGGCUCGAAAGCGUGGGGAGCAAACAGG
rnacentral:rRNA from 1 species